rnacentral:rRNA from 1 species
CUAGACUCCUACGGGAGGCAGCAGUGGGGAAUAUUGCACAAUGGGGGAAACCCUGAUGCAGCAACGCCGCGUGAGUGAAGAAGUCAUUCGUGAUGUAAAGCUCUAUCAGCAGGGAAGAAAAUGACGGUACCUGAGUAAGAAGCCCCGGCUAACUACGUGCCAGCAGCCGCGGUAAUACGUAGGGGGCAAGCGUUAUCCGGAUUUACUGGGUGUAAAGGGAGCGCAGGCGGAUUGACAAGUUGGGAGUGAAAACUACGGGCUCAACCCGUAACCUGCUUUCAAAACUGUCAGUCUUGAGUGGUGUAGAGGUAGGCGGAAUUCCCGGUGUAGCGGUGGAAUGCGUAGAUAUCGGGAGGAACACCAGUGGCGAAGGCGGCCUACUGGGCACUAACUGACGCUGAGGCUCGAAAGCAUGGGUAGCAAACAGGAUUAGAUACCCCUGUAGA